rnacentral:rRNA from 2 species
UACGGAGGGGGCUAGCGUUGUUCGGAAUUACUGGGCGUAAAGCGCACGUAGGCGGCUUGAAAAGUUGGGGGUGAAAGCCCGGAGCUCAACUCCGGAAUUGCCUUCAAAACUCUCAAGCUAGAGUUCGGAAGAGGAGAGUGGAAUUCCCAGUGUAGAGGUGAAAUUCGUAGAUAUUGGGAAGAACACCAGUGGCGAAGGCGGCUCUCUGGUCCGAUACUGACGCUGAGGUGCGAAAGCGUGGGGAGCAAACAGG